rnacentral:misc_RNA from 1 species
AUUUUCUAAAAUUUGGUGAAACUUAGAUGACCGAGACAGUUAUGAAGGAGGUCGGCAGAAAAGUAACAUAACAAUUUAGUUGUUUGGUUAGUUUACUAAUGAAAAUUAAAUUAUAUGGACAUUCAGGAGCAAACAAGAUUGAGGUUAAGGGAAGUGGGUGUGCCUUCCUUAUUUCAGUAAUCAUAGUUUUUUAUCCAUUAAUUAAAGUGACAAUAGAGAUA